AUCUUCUUCUUCUUCCUCCUUGUGUCUGUUUAUGCAACUCAACCUCUUCGUCCUCUUACCUUUCCUCGCAUUCUCAUCCUUGGCAGAAGAAUCAAAUCCCUCCCAACUCCAAAACAUGGCCACUCUCGGCUGAGUCCACGAAUCCCAUGCCUCCCAGAACAGCCUCGAAACUGAAGACCUCGCUUGCUUUGCCGUCCAAGACCACAACAACACGGAGAAUGCUCUGCUUGAGUUUGCUGGAACUCUGCACCAUCUGACGAUCGAGGCCAUCGAUGCCGGAAAGAAGAAGCUUUACGAAGCAAAAGUCUGGAUGAAGCCAUGGCCAUGGAUGGGCUUUAAGGAAGUGCAAGAGUUCAAGCACGCUGUAUCUUGCGUUGAGCUGAGAUAUGCAUGAACAUGGAAUGCACUCGAGUAGCUAUUAGAACUGGCUUUUCAAAAUCUGACGAGGAACAGAAGUAUGACA